CAGCCGCUGGCGUCGUUCGCGGCCGACGGUCCGUUCGCGGGCCUCACCGUGCCGAAGGAUAUUACGGUCACGCGCCAGGUGCUGGCCGAACCCGAUCCGGCGCUGGCCUCGCGAAGCUGGGCCUCGCUCGCCGACGGCACGCCGCUGGUGACCGGCGAACAUCGCGACAGGGGCUGUUCCAUAUCAGCGCCGAUAUGCGCUGGUCGGACCUGCCGUUGUCUGGCACCUUCGUCGAGAUGCUGCGGCGAAUCGUCGAUAUGUCGGGCUACACGGCCAAUCCAGGCGCGGGUGUCGCCGCCGAGGCCGGAGCAGAGACUGUUGCGCCGAUCCGCACCCUUGACGGCUUCGGCGCGUUCGGCCCGCCCCCCUCCACCGCAAAGCCGGUGCGCGCGGACUACCGCGACCGCGCCUCGCUCGAUCA
rnacentral:misc_RNA from 1 species